rnacentral:rRNA from 1 species
CGUACACUCCUACGGGAGGCAGCAGUGGGGAAUUUUACGCAAUGGGGGAAACCCUGACGUAGCGACACCACGUGAGCGAAGAAGCCCUUUGGGGUGUAAAGCUCUGUCAGCUGGAACGAAAACAAUGACGGUACCAGCAGAGGAAGCAUCGGCUAACUACGUGCCAGCAGCCGCGGUAAGACGUAGGAUGCGAGCGUUGUCCGGAUUUAUUGGGCGUAAAGAGUUCGUAGGUGGUUUGUUAAGUUUGGUGUUAAAGAUCGGGGCUCAACCCUGGGACUGCACUGAAUACUGGCAGACUCGAGUGUGGUAGAGGCUAGUGGAAUUCCCAGUGUAGCGGUGAAAUGCGUAGAUAUUGGGAAGAACACCGGUGGCGUAGGCGACUAGCUGGGCCAUAACUGACGCUGAGGAACGAAAGCCAGGGGAGCGAAUGGGAUUAGAAACCCUAGUAGUCCCA